UACGUAGGCAGCGAGCGUUGUUCGGAAUUAUUGGGCGUAAAGCGCGCGCAGGCGGUUUCUUAAGUCUGAUGUGAAAGCCCACGGCUCAACCGUGGAGGGUCAUUGGAAACUGGGGAACUUGAGUGCAGAAGAGAAAAGCGGAAUUCCACGUGUAGCGGUGAAAUGCGUAGAGAUGUGGAGGAACACCAGUGGCGAAGGCGGCUUUUUGGUCUGUAACUGACGCUGAGGCGCGAAAGCGUGGGGAGCAAACAGG
rnacentral:rRNA from 1 species